rnacentral:rRNA from 1 species
AGAGUGCGUAAUAGCUCACUGGUCAAGUGGUUCUGCGCCGACAAUGUAGCGGGGCUCAAGCGUACCGCCGAAGCUGUGGCAGCAACACGUGGUGCUGGCGCCAUUUAUUGGUUGUUGGUGUGUUGUUGGGUAGGGGAGCGUCCUGCAUGAGGUGAAGCCUGGAGGUGACUUCUGGUGGAUUGUGUGGGAGUGAGAAUGCAGGCAUGAGUAACGAAUCUGCGGUGGGAAUCCGCAGCGCCGAUUGACUAAGGGUUCCAGGGCUAGGUUUAUCCGCCCUGGGUUAGUCGGGUCCUAAGGCGAGGCCGACAGGCGUAGUCGAUGGACAACCAGUUGAUAUUCUGGUACCAGGUUGUGACCGCCCAUGCUGAGGUCAUUGUGCUAACCAAUUUGCCUGCACCUCUUCGUGGCUUUCGGGCCGCGAGCGUGUGUGUGGGUCUUGGGGUCCCGGUGAUGGUAGGCAAGCGUGUUAACAGGGGUGACGCAGACAGGUAACUGCAGUGCGCCGAUGGUUGUGCGUAUUUAAGGUUGUGGCCCGCCCUUUAGGUAAAUCCGGGGGGCAUUGUGGGUGAGGACUGAUGAGGGACACACGCGUGUGUGGACUUGUGGUGAUCCUAUGCUGCCGAGAAAAGCCUCGACGUGAGGGCAUGACCUGCCCGUACCCUAAACCGACUCAGGUGGUCAGGUAGAGUAUACCGAGGCGUUCGAGUGAAUCGUGGUUAAGGAACUCGGCAAAAUUCCUCCGUAACUUCGGGAUAAGGAGGACCCCGUGACUUCCCAACGCUUUGCGUGUUGGUGGGGUUGUGGGGUCGCAGAGAAUAGGGAGAAGCGACUGUUUAUCAAAAACACAGGUGCGUGCGAAGCCGUAAGGCGAUGUAUACGCACUGACGCCUGCCCGGUGCUGGAAGGUUAAGAGGAACCGUUAACAUUCUUUAGGGGUGUGAAGCGGUGAAUUUAAGCCCCAGUAAACGGCGGUGGUAACUAUAACCAUCCUAAGGUAGCGAAAUUCCUUGUCGGGUAAGUUCCGACCUGCACGAAUGGCGUAACGACUUCUCCGCUGUCUCAACCGCGAACUCGGUGAAAUUGCAGUACGAGUAAAGAUGCUCGUUUCGCGCAGAAGGACGGAAAGACCCCGGGACCUUUACUAUAGCUUGGUAUUGGUGUUCGCUUGGACUUGUGUAGGAUAGGUGGGAGACUGUGAAGCUGCCGCGCCAGCGGUGGUGGAGUCGUCGUUGAAAUACCAUUCUGGUUUAAGCGGUCACCUUAACCUUGGCCCGUGAUCCGGGUUGGGGACAGUGCCUGGUGGGUAGUUUAACUGGGGCGGUUGCCUCCUAAAAUGUAACGGAGGCGCUCAAAGGUUCCCUCAGCCUGGUUGGUAAUCAGGUGGCGAGUGCAAGUGUACAAGGGAGCUUGACUGUGAGACCGACGGGUCGAGCAGGUGCGAAAGCAGGAACUAGUGAUCCGGCCAUGGCACGUGGGUGCGUGGUCGCUCAACGGAUAAAAGGUACCCCGGGGAUAACAGGCUGAUCUUGCCCAAGAGUCCAUAUCGACGGCAUGGUUUGGCACCUCGAUGUCGGCUCGUCGCAUCCUGGGGCUGGAGUUGGUCCCAAGGGUUGGGCUGUUCGCCCAUUAAAGCGGUACGCGAGCUGGGUUCAGAACGUCGUGAGACAGUUCGGUCCCUAUCCUCUGUGCGCGCAGGAAAUUUGAGGAGGGCCGUCCCUAGUACGAGAGGACCGGGAUGGACGAACCUCUGGUGUGCCAGUUGUACCGCCAGGUGCAUGGCUGGUUAGCUACGUUCGGAAGGGAUAACCGCUGAAAGCAUCUAAGCGGGAAGCCUGCUCCAAGAUGAGGUUUCCACGCCCCCCCGUGGGGUGAGAGGCCCCCGCCAGACGAGCGGGUUGAUAGGCCAGAGGUGGAAGCACCGCGAGGUGCUCGCGAGCCGACUGGUACUAAUGGGCCAACACUAAACAAC